AAGGGAAUAUUAAUUAAGAGUUAUUGAAUUUUUUGGAUUAUUAAAAGUAGUUUUAUAAUUUAUGUUUUAGUAUAUUAAUGGAAUUAAUUAUUUAAUUUAUAGUUUAUUAGUACUGUGAAGGAAAUAUGAAAUAUGUGAAAGAUAAAUUUAGAAAGAAGAAGAAAUUAAUUUUGUACCUUGUGUAUCAGGGUUUAUUAAUUAAAAUUAAAGAUUUUUUAAUAUCUCGAAUUGGAAAGAGCAAAAAUAAUAUUAUAAUUAAUGUGGUAUUAUUAUUAUUCAUGUUAUUUUUGUAAUGAAAUGUUAAUCGAUUUUUAAGAUAUCUAGUUCCUUAAGAAAUGAAUUGAAUUUGGAAUACUAUUAGUUAAGUUUUAUUUUAAAUGGUAUAUAGAUUGUAUUUAAUAUAAAAGGGGAUAAGCUUUUUUAUAUAAAUUAUAAUUUUGUAAUAUAAAAGGAAAAAUGUAGGCUUUAAAUUAGCUAUCAUAUAAAUAAUGUUAUAAAUUAUUUUUUUUUUCAUUUAAUUUUAUGGAGGUUUUAAUUUGUUUAUUAAGGUAAUUUAAAUAAUAGGGAAAUAUAAGUAAUAAUGAUAAAAUUAGUAUAUAAGUUUGUUAAUAAUAAAUUAUAAUUUAAUUUAUAAUAAGGAAUUAGGCAAAAAUUGUUACUCACCUGUUUAUCAAAAACAUCUCCUUUUGAUUUGAAUAUAAGGUAGGGCCUGCCCACUGAAGUUUGAAGGGCCGCGGUAUUAUGACCGUGCAAAGGUAGCAUAAUCAUUUGUCUUUUAAUUGGAGGCUAGAAUGAAUGGUUUGAUGAAGUAACUACUGUCUCGUUAUGAAAUAUAGAAUUUUACUUUUGAGUUAAAAGGCUUAAAUAUAAAUGGAGGACGAGAAGACCCUAUAGAGUUUAAUAAUUAAGGUUAUUAUUUAAUAUAGUAGUUUUCAAUUAUAAUUAUUUUAUUUAUUUUGUUGGGGUGACAAAAAGAUAUAAGGAACUCUUUUAAAAUUAAACAUAAAUUUAUGAUUUAUUGAUCCAUUAUUAGUGAUUUCAAGAGAAAAUUACCUUAGGGAUAACAGCGUAAUUUCUUUUAAGAGUUCAUAUCAAUAAAGAAGAUUGCGACCUCGAUGUUGGAUUAAGAAUAUUAUUAGGUGUAGUCGUUUACAUAAUAGGUCUGUUCGACCUUUAAAUUCUUACAUGAUCUGAGUUCAGACCGGUGUAAGCCAGGUCGGUUUCUAUCCUCAUUAAAGUGUUAUAUUUUAGUACGAAAGGACCAAAUAUAAUAAAUAAUUUAUUAAUAAAUGGAUAAUGAUA
rnacentral:rRNA from 1 species